GGGGGUGCUCCCACCUCUGUCCACGCAGAGGCCUCGUCGGACCAGAGGGGAGACGCCGCCUCGCAUCCUUAGGUCCUCCUUUCCCUCGGGCUGGUAUUUCGCCUUUCGUUCCUCCACGCUUUUCUUCUGCACUGCCCCCGCCCCCUCCCCGCUUCCUUCUCCUCUUCUUUCCUUUCCUCCUCCCCACCCUCUGGCCUGGGCAGCCUAGUGCCGGACCAGGCCCCGGGAGCGCGUGGGAUCUGCGCCGCGCCUCUCGGUGGUCGCGGGGAGGCGGCUCAGGAAAUGCGCCCUCCGCUGGCGCCAGGUCGUGGUUCUCGCUGCGUUACUUUUUCUCGCAGCUGUAGCCGGGCGCGCCGGCCUGGGCGCUGCGGAUCCUCGAGGGGGAAGUUCUCCGAGGGCCUGCUGAAGAGUGGGGGUCCGAGCUGCGGAGACAAUGCGGGUCUGCGGUGCUCCUGUGCGCCCCGCGUCCUAGGACUUCAACUUGGAGUCCAGUUCUGCGCGGAACCGCCUAGGAGCCCCGAGUGCGAAGGCUGAGCUCUCCGCCGGGGCCUCCUGGUCUGCGGCCGCCGCGGGGCGCGCUCUCACUGCCGCGCCUUGCGGGGAGGUUUUUGUAGAUAAAAGCGUCUGCUGUU